UGGGGAAUAUUGCACAAUGGGCGCAAGCCUGAUGCAGCGACGCCGCGUGAGGGAUGACGGCCUUCGGGUUGUAAACCUCUUUCAGUAGGGAAGAAGCGAAAGUGACGGUACCUGCAGAAGAAGCACCGGCUAACUACGUGCCAGCAGCCGCGGGAAUACGGAGGGUGCGAGCGUUAUCCGGAAUUAUUGGGCGUAAAGAGCUCGUAGGCGGUUUGUCGCGUCUGUCGUGAAAGUCCGGGGCUUAACCCCGGAUCUGCGGUGGGUACGGGCAGACUAGAGUGCAGUAGGGGAGACUGGAAUUCCUGGUGUAGCGGUGGAAUGCGCAGAUAUCAGGAGGAACACCGAUGGCGAAGGCAGGUCUCUGGGCUGUAACUGACGCUGAGGAGCGAAAGCAUGGGGAGCGAACA
rnacentral:rRNA from 1 species